rnacentral:rRNA from 1 species
UACGAAGGGGGCUAGCGUUGCUCGGAAUCACUGGGCGUAAAGGGUGCGUAGGCGGGUCUUUAAGUCAGAGGUGAAAGCCUGGAGCUCAACUCCAGAACUGCCUUUGAUACUGAGGAUCUCGAGUUCGGGAGAGGUGAGUGGAACUGCGAGUGUAGAGGUGAAAUUCGUAGAUAUUCGCAAGAACACCAGUGGCGAAGGCGGCUCACUGGCCCGAUACUGACGCUGAGGCGCGAAAGCGUGGGGAGCAAACAGG